CGUUCGUUGGGUAGGGGAGCGUUCUGUAAGCCUGUGAAGGUGUGUCGUGAGGCAUGCUGGAGGUAUCAGAAGUGCGAAUGCUGACAUAAGUAACGAUAAAGCGGGUGAAAAGCCCGCUCGCCGGAAGACCAAGGGUUCCUGUCCAACGUUAAUCGGGGCAGGGUGAGUCGACCCCUAAGGCGAGGCCGAAAGGCGUAGUCGAUGGGAAACGGGUUAAUAUUCCCGUACUUGGUGUUACUGCGAAGGGGGGACGGAGAAGGCUAUGUUGGCCGGGCGACGGUUGUCCCGGUUUAAGCGUGUAGGUGUGUGUUCCAGGUAAAUCCGGUUCACUUUAACACUGAGGCGUGACGACGAGGCACUACGGUGCUGAAGCAACAAAUGCCCUGCUUCCAGGAAAAGCCUCUAAGCAUCAGGUAACACGAAAUCGUACCCCAAACCGACACAGGUGGUCAGGUAGAGAAUACCAAGGCGCUUGAGAGAACUCGGGUGAAGGAACUAGGCAAAAUGGUGCCGUAACUUCGGGAGAAGGCACGCUGACACGUAGGUGAAGUGAUUUACUCAUGGAGCUGAAGUCAGUCGAAGAUACCAGCUGGCUGCAACUGUUUAUUAAAAACACAGCACUGUGCAAACACGAAAGUGGACGUAUACGGUGUGACGCCUGCCCGGUGCCGGAAGGUUAAUUGAUGGGGUCAGCGCAAGCGAAGCUCCUGAUCGAAGCCCCGGUAAACGGCGGCCGUAACUAUAACGGUCCUAAGGUAGCGAAAUUCCUUGUCGGGUAAGUUCCGACCUGCACGAAUGGCGUAAUGAUGGCCAGGCUGUCUCCACCCGAGACUCAGUGAAAUUGAACUCGCUGUGAAGAUGCAGUGUACCCGCGGCAAGACGGAAAGACCCCGUGAACCUUUACUAUAGCUUGACACUGAACAUUGAGCCUUGAUGUGUAGGAUAGGUGGGAGGCUUUGAAGUGUGGACGCCAGUCUGCAUGGAGCCGACCUUGAAAUACCACCCUUUAAUGUUUGAUGUUCUAACGUGGACCCGUAAUCCGGGUUGCGGACAGUGUCUGGUGGGUAGUUUGACUGGGGCGGUCUCCUCCUAAAGAGUAACGGAGGAGCACGAAGGUUGGCUAAUCCUGGUCGGACAUCAGGAGGUUAGUGCAAUGGCAUAAGCCAGCUUGACUGCGAGCGUGACGGCGCGAGCAGGUGCGAAAGCAGGUCAUAGUGAUCCGGUGGUUCUGAAUGGAAGGGCCAUCGCUCAACGGAUAAAAGGUACUCCGGGGAUAACAGGCUGAUACCGCCCAAGAGUUCAUAUCGACGGCGGUGUUUGGCACCUCGAUGUCGGCUCAUCACAUCCUGGGGCUGAAGUAGGUCCCAAGGGUAUGGCUGUUCGCCAUUUAAAGUGGUACGCGAGCUGGGUUUAGAACGUCGUGAGACAGUUCGGUCCCUAUCUGCCGUGGGCGCUGGAGAACUGAGGGGGGCUGCUCCUAGUACGAGAGGACCGGAGUGGACGCAUCACUGGUGUUCGGGUUGUCAUGCCAAUGGCACUGCCCGGUAGCUAAAUGCGGAAGAGAUAAGUGCUGAAAGCAUCUAAGCACGAAACUUGCCCCGAGAUGAGUU
rnacentral:rRNA from 1 species